UUUAAUAGGGGAUCAAUAUCAUAAAGAAAACUUCUUAUGUGUUAUUAAAAAGGCUCAAGGGCGUUUGAUACCCGAGCUUAUUUGAGCAUGAGCUAACGGGGCAUUAGAGCCCGAAAAGUAAAAACGAAAUUAAGAAAACAUGAAGCGGGCAUGCAAGCCCUAAAGGAAAAUUAUAGCUAUAGCUAAUCACUUGUAAUAUAUUUUCAGAUUGUUGGCGUUCC
rnacentral:lncRNA from 1 species